GAUGAAGAACGUAGUGAAACGCGAUAUGUAAUGUGAAUUGCAGAAUUCAGUGAAUCAUCGAAUCUUUGAACGCACAUGGCGCCUUCCAGUAUCCUGGGAGGCAUGCCUGUCCGAGCGUCGUUUCAACCCUCGAGCCCCCGUGGCCCGGCGUUGGGGAUCUGCCACGGCAGGCCCCUAAAACCAGUGGCGGACCCGAAGGCCCUCUCCUUUGCGCAGUAGCAUCAGCCUCGCAUUGGGAUCCCUCGGCGUCCUGCCUCUAAACCCCCCACAAGUCCGCUCCGGCGGCACCAAGGUUGACCUCGGAUAAGGUAGGAAUACCCGCUGAACUUAAGCAUAUCAAUAAGCGGAGGA
rnacentral:misc_RNA from 1 species